rnacentral:rRNA from 1 species
AUUGAACGCUGGCGGCAGGCUUAACACAUGCAAGUCGAGCGGAGCGAGGGUGCUUGCACCUUAGCUUAGCGGCGGACGGGUGAGUAAUGCUUAGGAAUCUGCCUAUUAGUGGGGGACAACAUUCCGAAAGGAAUGCUAAUACCGCAUACGCCCUACGGGGGAAAGCAGGGGAUCUUCGGACCUUGCGCCAAUAGAUGAGCCUAAGUCGGAUUAGCUAGUUGGUGGGGUAAAGGCCUACCAAGGCGACGAUCUGUAGCGGGUCUGAGAGGAUGUACCGCCCCACUGGGACUGAGACGCGCCCAGACUCCUACGGGAGGCAGCAGUGGGGAAUAUUGGACAAUGGGCGGAAGCCUGAUCCAGCCAUGCCGCGUGUGUGAAGAAGGCCUUUUGGUUGUAAAGCACUUUAAGCGAGGAGGAGGCUACUUAGAUUAAUACUCUGGGAUAGUGGACGUUACUCGCAGAAUAAGCACCGGCUAACUCUGUGCCAGCCGCCGCCGUAA